GAUUUCACACUGCCAAGAAAAGCCUCUAGUUAGAAAAUAGGUGCCCGUACCGCAAACCGACACAGGUAGUCAAGAUGAGAAUUCUAAGGUGAGCGAGCGAACUCUCGUUAAGGAACUCGGCAAAAUGACCCCGUAACUUCGGGAGAAGGGGUGCUUUUUAGGGUGCAAGCCUUGAAGAGCCGCAGUGAAUAGGCCCAAGCGACUGUUUAUCAAAAACACAGGUCUCUGCUAAACCGUAAGGUGAUGUAUAGGGGCUGACGCCUGCCCGGUGCUGGAAGGUUAAGAGGAGUGGUUAGCUUCUGCGAAGCUACGAAUCGAAGCCCCAGUAAACGGCGGCCGUAACUAUAACGGUCCUAAGGUAGCGAAAUUCCUUGUCGGGUAAGUUCCGACCCGCACGAAAGGCGUAACGAUUUGGGCACUGUCUCAACGAGAGACUCGGUGAAAUCAUAGUACCUGUGAAGAUGCAGGUUACCCGCGACAGGACGGAAAGACCCCGUGGAGCUUUACUGUAGCCUGAUAUUGAAAUUUGGCACAGCUUGUACAGGAUAGGUAGGAGCCUUUGAAACGUGAGCGCUAGCUUACGUGGAGGCGCUGGUGGGAUACUACCCUGGCUGUGUUGACUUUCUAACCCGCACCAUUUGAUCAUGGUGGGAGACAGUGUCAGGCGGGCAGUUUGACUGGGGCGGUCGCCUCCUAAAGAGUAACGGAGGCGCUCAAAGGUUCCCUCAGAAUGGUUGGAAAUCAUUCGCAGAGUGUAAAGGCACAAGGGAGCUUGACUGCGAGACCUACAAGUCGAGCAGGGUCGAAAGACGGACUUAGUGAUCCGGUGGUUCCGCAUGGAAGGGCCAUCGCUCAACGGAUAAAAGCUACCCCGGGGAUAACAGGCUUAUCUCCCCCAAGAGUUCACAUCGACGGGGAGGUUUGGCACCUCGAUGUCGGCUCAUCGCAUCCUGGGGCUGUAGUCGGUCCCAAGGGUUGGGCUGUUCGCCCAUUAAAGCGGUACGCGAGCUGGGUUCAGAACGUCGUGAGACAGUUCGGUCCCUAUCCGUCGUGGGCGUAGGAAAUUUGAGAGGAGCUGUCCUUAGUACGAGAGGACCGGGAUGGACAUACCUCUGGUGUACCAGUUGUCGCGCCAGCGGCAUAGCUGGGUAGCUAUGUAUGGACGGGAUAAGUGCUGAAAGCAUCUAAGCAUGAAGCCCCCCUCAAGAUGAGAUUUCCCAACUUCGGUUAUAAGAUCCCUCAAAGAUGAUGAGGUUAAUAGGUUCGGGGUGUAAGCGCAGUAAUGUGUGUAGCUGACGAAUACUAAUCGAUCGAAGACUUAAUCAAAUUUUA
rnacentral:rRNA from 1 species